rfam:Eubacterium sp. CAG:251 genomic scaffold, scf3
GGGGGUAUAGCUCAGCUGGGAGAGCACCUGCUUUGCAAGCAGGGGGUCAGCGGUUCGAUCCCGCUUAUCUCCA